rnacentral:rRNA from 1 species
GACAGAGGGGGCAAGCGUUGCUCGGAAUCACUGGGCGUAAAGGGCGCGUAGGCGGGAUGGCAAGUCGGUCGUGAAAUCCUUCGGCUCAACCGAAGAACGUCGGCCGAUACUGCCGUUCUUGAGGGAUGCAGAGGAGAUUGGAAUUCCCGGUGUAGCGGUGAAAUGUGUAGAGAUCGGGAGGAACACCGGUGGCGAAGGCGGGUCUCUGGACAGUUCCUGACGCUGAGGCACGAAGGCCAGGGGAGCAAACGGG